rnacentral:rRNA from 1 species
GUGACCCCAGGUCAGUCGGGAUUACCC